CCUACGGGGGGCUGCAGUGGGGAAUAUUGGACAAUGGGGGCAACCCUGAUCCAGCCAUGCCGCGUGUGUGAAGAAGGCCCGCGGGUUGUAAAGCACUUUCAGUGAGGAAGAACGCCUGGUGGUUAAUACCCAUCAGGAAAGACAUCACUCACAGAAGAAGCACCGGCUAACUCCGUGCCAGCAGCCGCGGUAAUACGGAGGGUGCGAGCGUUAAUCGGAAUUACUGGGCGUAAAGCGCGCGUAGGUGGCUUGAUAAGCCGGUUGUGAAAGCCCCGGGCUCAACCUGGGAACGGCAUCCGGAGCUGUCAAGCUAGAGUGCAGGAGAGGAAGGUAGAAUUCCCGGUGUAGCGGUGAAAUGCGUAGAGAUCGGGAGGAAUACCAGUGGCGAAGGCGGCCUUCUGGACUGACACUGACACUGAGGUGCGAAAGCGUGGGUAGCAAACAGGAUUAGAUACCCCAGUAGUC
rnacentral:rRNA from 1 species